AUCAACUGAGCCUUAUUAGGUACUUUUUACAUUGCCCUCAUUUUUCUCAGUUUUGAACAUCAAAUGGAAAUUGUCUCUUAGAAUGGAAAUGGUCUGUGGACCAUGUCUGGAUGAAGGUGGUCUGGCUGACCAGAUGGGAGGAGAAAGGAAGAGGAGAUUAAGCAGCUCUGGGAGGGCAGAGUGAGGGAACUGUGUGUUAGUUCAGAUGCACAGGGAGACACCACUCGUGGGUAACUAUGGACAUAGGAAGCAGCAUCUUAGAAUUCUGCCACUAGGGUUGGGUUGCCAGGAGACGCACACCUGUUCCGUGGGCAAAACAGAGCAGCUGAGAAGGAAAUGAAGGCUGUGGAAAUGGUCUGGAAAGCAGAGCAGAACAGAGCCAGGAGCAUAGGUGGGGCAUCUCCUGGUGUGGGGCACUUAGGAAGUCCCAAGGUAGAGACAGGAAAGAAGGCCAAGGUCAUCCCUGAGGAAUACACUACAUACAGCACCUGGUAG
rnacentral:lncRNA from 1 species